GGAUUAGGGGCAGGAGGAGAAGGGGACGACAGAGGAUGAGAUGGUUGGAUGGCAUCACCGACUCAAUGGAUAAAUGCCCAUCUUAAACAUACCAAGAAGAUCCUGGUGCUGAGAAGAAAAUGAAACAAUAUGUCAGCAUUGACUGGGGGAGGGAAAGCUUUUAGAGGUCAAAUUUAGCUCCUGCAUUACUCAGGUGAUAAAGUAGAGUUUGGGAGAAAUUAAAAGAAUUGUCAAGGUCAUCUAGGUUGCUGGUGGCAGAACAGGAUCCCGGAGCCAGGCAUUCUCCUCUUGGCUUGAUCUCAUUUUUUCGUGCACACGUGCUAAGUCGCUUCAGUUGUGUCUGACUCUUCUCGACCCCAGGGACUAUAGCCCGCCAGGCUCCUCUGUCCAUGGGAUUCUCCAGACAAGAAUACUGGAGUGGGUUACCAUUUUCUUCUUCAGGGGAUCUUCCUGACCCAGGCUUUAAACUUGCAUCUCUUAGGUCUCCUGCAUUGGCAGGUGAGUUCUUUACUGUUGAUCUCAUCCUUGGGCACCAUAAAUUUGACUCUUUUGGUAUCUUGGAAACUCCAAAUGUGCAGGAAUCAGGUCUUGUUUUGUAAGCAGUUGUAAAGGAGAGUUAUGAUUGAAACCUUUCCAUCUAAAGGAGAUUGCCAAACACUUACCUGGAAUGUUUCCGAGGAGUCUUUCAGUAAUUUACAUUACUCUUACCUGGAUGGGAGACCACCUGGCUCAGCUCAUCUCUGUUCUCACUGAUGUAGCCGUUUACAGUAGGAACCACCUCAGAAACAAAACUUUGCUAAUUUGAUAGCGGGAAAGAUGGCAUCACAGUCAUUUGCAUGUUUCCUUCUUUGAUUUACAGUGUGGCUGGGCAUUUUCUGGUAUGUCCGUUGCCUAUAUGUAUUCAUUCUGUUCUGAGUUGCUUAUUCAUGCCCUUUGCUCAUUUUUCUAUCAUACAGCUUUAAAAUUCAUUUUCAAGUAUGCUUUAUAUAGGAAUAUUAAUAACUAUUUUAAUAAAUAAAACAUGAACCUUGCACAUGCUGCAAACAUUUUUGCACAUGACUAAGAGGCUUUGCUAUUUUUAAUCUUUGCCAUCACUGUGGUUAUUCCACCAACUCUCUUCCUCCUAAUUAUAUGUAUCUUGCUUAUUUAUUUUUCUUGAUUAGCCCCUCAGAGUUUUGUAUCUUUGCUCUGGAUUAAAAAAAAUCUAAACUCACAUAUUUCUCCUUUUCUCUUUGUUAAUAAUUAUUUGUAUUUUUUCCCUAUUGUUCUUUUGUCUUUUCUAACUUCCUGAGUUGAUGCUCAGCUCAUUUAUUUGUAUCCUUUAAAAUACAAUAACAGUAGCAUUUAAUACUAUGACUUGCACUUCUGAUUACAGCCUUGGGUAUUUCCCGUGUGAUUUUUAAAAUACACAGUAUUCUCAUUAUUGUUAUUUCCUUUGCUGUAAUUGUU
ensembl:lncRNA